rnacentral:rRNA from 1 species
CCUACGGGAGGCAGCAGUGAGGAAUAUUGGUCAAUGGGCGCAAGCCUGAACCAGCCAAGUCGCGUGAAGGAAGACGGCCCUAUGGGUUGUAAACCUCUUUUGUACGGGAGUAAUGCCCGGUACGUGUGUCCGGAUGGAAGUAACCUACGAAUAAGGAUCGGCUAACUCCGUGCCAGCCGCCGCGGUAAUACGGAGGAUCCGAGCGUUAUCCGGAUUUCUUGGGUUUAAAGGGUGCGUAGGGGGGGUUUUAAGUUAGGGGGGAAAGGGUGGGGCUCAAACCCGAAACUGCCAUUAAUACUGGGGGACUAGAGUACAGGUGAGGUAGGCGGAAUGUAUGGUGUAGCGGUGAAAUGCUUAGAUAUCACACAGAACACCGAUUGCGAAGGCAGCUUACCAAACUAUAACUGACGUUGAGGCACGAAAGCGUGGGUAGCAAACAGGAUUAGAUACCCUAGUAGUC